CAAUAGCGUAUAUUAAAGUUGUUGCAGUUAAAAAGCUCGUAGUUGGAUUUCGGGGCAGCCUGGCUGGUCCGCCGCAAGGCGAGUACUGGUCAGCCGCCCUUCCUCUCGAAAGCCCCGACUGCUCUUCGUUGCAGUGGUCGGGUAGUUCGGGACGUUUACUUUGAAAAAAUUAGAGUGUUCAAGGCAGGCCUACGCCUGAAUACAUUAGCAUGGAAUAAUGGAAGAGGACCUCGGUCCUAUUUUGUUGGUUUCCAGGGCCGAAGUAAUGAUUAAGAGGGACAGUUGGGGGCAUUCGUAUUCAAUUGUCAGAGGUGAAAUUCUUGGAUUUAUGGAAGACGAACAACUGCGAAAGCAUUUGCCAAGGAUGUUUUCAUUAA
rnacentral:rRNA from 1 species